GGAGUUAAAGAGCAGCCUAGGCAACAUGGCGCGACCCCGUCUCUGUAGUCCCACUUCAGCUUCCCAGAUACUUGAACCCCAAAGUUCAAGGCUGCAAUGACCUAUGAUCCCAUCACAGCACUCCAGCCUGCGAGACUGAGAGACGGGGUUUCACCAUGUUGGCCAGGCUGGUCUGGAACUCCUGACCUGAAGUGAUCUGCCCACCUCGGCUUCCCAAAGUGCUGGGAUGACAGGCGUAAGCCACUGCGCCUGGCCCCUUCAGGUGGGUUUUGAGGCUUCACUACAAUACUAGUUCCCCGUUGCUGCUGCAACAAAUUACCACACCCUUAGUGGCUUAAAACAGCACAGAGAUAUUCCCUUCCAGUUCUGAAGGCCAGAAUUCUAAAGUCAGUCCCACUGAGUCAAGGUGGGAGCAGGCUCAGUGCCUUCCCAGGCUCUGCGGGAGAAUCCGUUUCCUGGCCCUGGAGGCGGCCUGUACUCCUCAGCUUGUGCUGCCCUUCUCGAAUGACUCGAGUUUCCUGCUUUCAUCACUACACCUCCCACCACUCUCCAUCACCUGCUCUGCUCUUAUAAGGAUCCAGAGAAAUGGAAUAGUCGUAUCACUGAUCUACGUAAACAGGUUGAAGAAUUGUCUGAAAGAAAAUAUGGUGUGUCUAAACUGGAAAAGUCCUGUAAUAGUUUGUUCAUGAGCAUUUACACAAUGGAGUUGCUGUUUCAUCAUGGGGGUACUGUGGACAAGCCCAGGGUUGCUGUAGAGACAGAGUUUUUUGUCUUGUAGGCCAGGCUGGUCUCGAGCUCCUGACCUCAAGUGAUCCACCUGCCUCCCAAAGUGCUGGGAUUACAGGCACAUGAACUUAUGAAUUUAAGACAUGAAGAUUUACAGCUUGAUAAACCAGCUUCAGGAGACAUGAACUUAUGAACUCAACACAUGAAGAUUUACAGCUUGACAAACACUCCAGCGGGAAGAAGAAGAGGCCUUUGCCAGCAGUCAGAGCAGCCAAGGGGCCCAAUCCCUCACAUUCUCCAAGUUUGAAGAAAAACCAACGAGAAGACCCGCAAGGUUACCACAGUGAAGAAAUCUUCAGUGCGUCUUCUAGGGUCGGAUCAAAGAAGGCAGAAAUUCAGGAAGCAAAAGCUCCCAGUCCUUCCAUAAACCGGCAAACCAGCAUUGAAAUGGGUUAAGAGUGUCUAAGGAGUUCAUAGAAUUUCUCAAGACCUUCCACAAGACAGGCCAAGAAAUCUAUAAACAGACCAAGCUGUUUUUGGAAGGGAUGCAUUACAAAGGGAGCCCUGCACUGGGUUACGCCUCAGAUGCUGUGUGUCCCUGUUAAUGAAGACAUCCCAGAAGUGUCUGAUACGCUGGUGAAGGCGAUCACAGUUGCAGAGUUCUGAUGGAGAGAUAUUUGAAGUUGAUGUGGAGAUUGCCAAACAAUCUGUGACUAUCAAGACCAUGUUGGAAGAUUUGGGAAUGGAUGAUGAAGGAGAUGACCCAGUUCCUCUACCAAAUGUGAAUGCAGCAGUAUUUAAAAAGGUCAUUCAGUGGUACACCCACCACAAGGAUGACCCUCCUCCCGCUGAAGAUGAUGAGAACAAAGAAAAGCAAACAGACGAUAUCCCUGUUUGGGACCAAGAAUUCCUGAAAGUUGCCCAAGGAACACUUUUUGAACUCAUUCUGGCUGCAAACUACUUAGACAUCAAAGGUUUGCUUGAUGUUACAUGCAAGACUAUUGCCAAUAUGAUCAAGGGGAGAACUCCUGAGGAGAUUCGCAGGACCUUCAAUACCAAAAAUGACUUUACUGAAGAGGAGGAAGCCCAGGUACGCAAAGAGAACCAGUGGUGUGAAGAGAAGUGAAAUGUUGUGCCUGACACUGUAACACUGUAAGGAUUGUUCCAAAUACUAGUUGCACUGCUCUGUUUAUAAUUGUUAAUAUUAGACAAACAGUAGACAAAUGCAGUGGCAAGUCAAUUGUAUUAGCAGAAUAUUAUCCUCAUUGCAUGUGCAGUUUGAGUACAGAUUCCAAACCUAUGGCUGAGUUUCUUCUAGUAUGAUCAAAAGUUUCUUUUUUCUUUGCUCUGAAUAAAACUGAACUGUGGGUUCUCUAUAA
rnacentral:sRNA from 1 species